UCUCAGAGAUUAAGCCAUGCAUGUCUAAGUACAAACCUUAAAACGGUGAAACCGCGAAUGGCUCAUUAAAUCAGCUAUGGUUCCUUAGAUCGUACAUACUACAUGGAUAACUGUAGUAAUUCUAGAGCUAAUACAUGCCACUAUGCCCUGACCCGCAAGGGGAUGGGUGGAUUUAUUAGAACAGAACCAACCAGGGAUAGUUUCGGCUAUCCCUGUUGUACUCUGUGAUGACUCUGGAUAACUUCACUGAUCGCAGUCGGCCUUGUGUCGGCGACGGAUCUUUCAAAUAUCUGCCCUAUCAACUGUCGAUGGUAGGUGACCUGCCUACCAUGGUGAUAACGGGUAACGGGGAAUCAGGGUUCGAUUCCGGAGAGGGAGCCUGAGAAACGGCUACCACUUCCAAGGAAGGCAGCAGGCGCGAAAAUUACCCACUCCCGGCACGGGGAGGUAGUGACGAAAAAUACGAAUACGGGACUCAAUCGAGGCUCCGUAAUUCGAAUGAGUACACUUUAAAUCCUUUAACGAGGACCAAUUGGAGGGCAAGUCUGGUGCCAGCAGCCG
rnacentral:rRNA from 1 species